AUUGAACGCUGGCGGCAGGCUUAACACAUGCAAGUCGAGCGAGCGGCGGACGGGUGAGUAAUGUCUGGGAAACUGCCUGAUGGAGGGGGAUAACUACUGGAAACGGUAGCUAAUACCGCAUACCAUCAGAUGUGCCCAGAUGGGAUUAGCUUGUUGGUGGGGUAAUGGCUCACCUAGGCGACGAUCCCUAGCUGGUCUGAGAGGAUGACCAUCCACACUGGAACUGAGGCACGGUCCAGACUCCUACGGGUGGCAGCAGUGGGGAAUGUUGAAAGAUGGGCGCAAGCCUGAUGCAGCCAUGCCGCGAGAGAGAAGAAGGCCUGCGGGUUGUAAAGCACCUUCAGCGAGGAGGCGUUACUCGCAGAAGAAGCACCGGCUAACUCCGUGCCAGCAGCCGCGGUAAUUC
rnacentral:rRNA from 1 species